rnacentral:rRNA from 1 species
GGUGAACGCUGGCGGCGUGCCUAAUACAUGCAAGUCGAGCGAAUGGAUUAAGAGCUUGCUCUUAUGAAGUUAGCGGCGGACGGGUGAGUAACACGUGGGUAACCUGCCCAUAAGACUGGGAUAACUCCGGGAAACCGGGGCUAAUACCGGAUAACAUUUUGAACCGCAUGGUUCGAAAUUGAAAGGCGGCUUCGGCUGUCACUUAUGGAUGGACCCGCGUCGCAUUAGCUAGUUGGUGAGGUAACGGCUCACCACGGCAACGAUGCGUAGCCGACCUGAGAGGGUGAUCGGCCACACUGGGACUGGGACACGGCCCAGACUCCUACGGGAGGCAGCAGUAGGGAAUCUUCCGCAAUGGACGAAAGUCUGACGGAGCAACGCCGCGUGAGUGAUGAAGGCUUUCGGGUCGUAAAACUCUGUUGUUAGGGAAGAACAAGUGCUAGUUGAAUAAGCUGGCACCUUGACGGUACCUAACCAGAAAGCCACGGCUAACUACGUGCCAGCCGCCGCCGUAA